rnacentral:rRNA from 1 species
GGACGAACGCUGGCGGCGUGCUUAACACAUGCAAGUCGAGCGGUAAGGCCCUUUCGGGGGUACACGAGCGGCGAACGGGUGAGUAACACGUGGGUGACCUGCCCUCAGCUCUGGGAUAAGCCUGGGGAAACCGGGUCUAAUACUGGAUAUGACUCCAUGACGCAUGUUGUGGGGUGGAAAGCCUUGUGCGGCUGAGGAUGGGCCCGCGGCCUAUCAGCUUGUUGGUGGGGUGANGGACCUACCAAGGCGACGACGGGUAGCCGGCCUGA